rnacentral:lncRNA from 1 species
CUGAACCCCAACUUUCACAUUACAUGGGUUAGUCUUUGGGGAAAUGAGGUACUGCGUGGUUUUCUUAAUUGCAGCCAGCAUUAGAAGCUUCACUGUUGGUAACUGUUUGUCAUUUGGGGUAGAAGGGUGAAUCUUGCUUUGCCAUGACAAAGCUCAGUUGGACACCUUUUUCCCAAAACAGAUUAAAGUGACUUUGUCCCAGAAUAAAUCAAGACAAUGGGAAAACUACCAUGUAAAGUUUAUAUACAAGAAUAUAACAUUUAUCUGAAGUAUUUACAAGGUUAAUUAAAGCAAUAUUUUACAACUUUUUCAGGUUAGCCACUAGGUAUGUUACAGUUAGGCUACAGAUGGUUUAAUUUGCAAAAUAAUAAGAAAAAAGUUGCAUUCAUAUAAACCAGUUCCAAAACCUGUUUUGUUUUUGUUUUUUUUCUUAAGAAAAGGGCACAGUCUUUAUGGUGGAAAAUACAGUGGAAAAUAAAACUUGAGAAUAGUUAAUAUACCCUUACUGGUGCCUAUGUAUCACAUGCAAGAGUUGUAACAUGACCUUUAUAAAUUUAAUAUAGAUGGCAAGCAAUUUCACCUCAGUGAAAUAGUCGUACCCCUUGUGACAAGCCAGUGGCACACGUCUGUCUUUCUUUGUUUCCUACUUUUGCACAACAAACAUGCAUGUAUACAGAGAGGCAGCAAUAUAAAUGAACCAGCAUUACCAAAAUGAAGAGGGAAAAACCUCAGAUAAGAGUCACAUUUGCAACCAUUAAAAAAACAAACAAGAAAAAAAAACCUGUUAAGUGAGAUAGUUUAAUACUUCCCCCAAAUAGUCAUGAUAUAUAUAUUUUUAUUACAUUUAACCUAUGUACAGAAACAAAGGGCUCUCCCCCUCUUGGAGAUUGGUUGCUGUGUCUCCUGGCCAGGGCAUCUCGAGGUGUAGAGAGGCUAAAGAAAGAAGGUUGGGGAGGCCUCGAGAGCUUGGGUCAGAGGAGGCUGCUGGAAGCCAACGCAGCCAAAGCCACUAACACUGCAGUUUGCGGAUGCUGCGGGAGAACCGCUUAAAAGCUCGCUGCCCUUUCUGCCACCGCUUCAGUGAGGUGAUCACCAGUUCCCCAGCUUGCUUUUGCCCCAUCACCAAGUAGGGGACAUUGAUGUCAUUCAUCUCGUCACAGGUACACUGGAGGCCACCUUUGAGCCAGAGCACAAUCUUCCUCAGAUCCCUUUCAGUCAGCCCAUUCAGCUUGUAGAUGGUCUUGCUCUUUGUUUCAGGGGUGAUCUUGGUAUCCCCAUUGAUGUAGGCAAUCUCCUUCACUUUUAUCUUCAAGGCAAAGUCAUUUUUGCAGAGGUUUUCCAUGAUGUCGUUAUCAUCCUCAUUUUUGUUCUUGCAGGCAUCGCAGACUUUGGGUGCUUCCCUGGUGACUGGGAGGAUGUGGUCACUGCUGGCCAGCGGGAUGCAGAGGUCAUUGUCCUUGGGGAAGCGGCUGCAGUCCAGCAUGUCGGGCCAGGGGAAGCCGAAAGCAGACAUCACUGGUGCACAGCUCUCCUUUACCUCCUCGCAGAGUGAGUGGCAGGGCUGGAUGAUCUCGUCCAGGUCGUCGAUGCAGACAGGGGCAAAGAGGGAGCAGAGGAACUUCCUAGUAUCGGGGUGACACUGCUUCUGCACCAGCGGGAUCCAGGUGGAGGCCUGCUCCAGCACCUCCUGCACCGUCUCAUGCCCCAGCAGGUUGGGCAGCCGCAUGCUCUGGUACUCGAUGCCUCGGCACAGCAGCAUCGGGGCUGGGAUGGGCUUGCAGUUGGAGCGCUUGUAGGAGAAGUCGGGCUCCCCGAAAGGGAAGAGCCCGGCGGUCGAACCCAGGCACUGGGAGGCCAGCAGGAGCAGGGCGCAGAGGCGGCACGGCAUGGCGGGGCGGUGGGCUGAGCGGAGUGCCGAGCGGGCUCCAGCUCAGGCUGCUCUGCUGCGUGACCAACGGGGACGAACGGAGACUCUGAGAGAGAGGCCCAAACCUUAAUGUCCAUGCUUGCAGCUGAAGGCUGGAGAUGGCCACUCAGUGCUGCCAACCUGGUUGGGAUUCUGCCGCAUCCCUGCAGUGCCCAG